GGAGAAGUGAACACUUUAAGUGCUCGACAGGGAAACUGCCAACAUGUGAUUCAGUGUCUCGGCUGGAAAUGUGCUGGAAAAUAACUGCAUUUACUUAAGUACUGUACUUAAGUACAAUUUUGAGUUGCCCCCAAGAUAUUUUCCCGAAUAUAACUUCCCUCCUGGGGAUCGCUGCCAGACUUUAAAAGACAUCUCGCAGCGUGGAGAGACAACUCGUCCAGACUACUUGAUUUUACUGUCACUUUGACAUGAGCUGACAGAUUCAUUGGAUUACAAUGAACUCAUCUUCAACUCCAAGUCGCCUGCACUUCCUGAUGUAAGCUGGCAGCGUCCCCCCAACACGGCGGCCUAAGAUGAAAUGCUACUUUAAUGGCCGCUGGGGCCGCUGAACGACAAAAACAACGGUCUUGGAUGCCAAGAUGAUCACAGAAAAGCAAACAAAAAAAAAGAAAUGUAGGCCCGUCCAUGAUCCAUACUGACGUCUCCAGAUCCAAACCUGUUUUCUUCUCCUCAAUUAUUAGCUGUGGGAAAGAAACCCUAAAUGACAGUUUCCACUCUGCUCUGUGUGAUGAUUCUUCUUCUUUGAAAGGACAGAGGAGGAAGUCCAGUGAGAGCUCAGCACUCGUACAGAUCGGUGCAUGGCGAUGGUUUGACUCGAGCUGCAGCAGAGAGCAGAGGAUGUUCUCGCUGCUGGAGAACAUUAACCAGAACAGAAGAACAUCAGACCAGUGAUGCAGCUGCUGUCAUGUGACCGGAACACAACAUGUUUGCUGUAUGAUGGAUCGUCGUCUUGGGACUGAACAAAUGCAGCUGAACACACACAAACACACACACAAACACACAACAGAAAAACCACCUGACACCAAAAAAGGUGAAUUACUACAAAGAAACAACGGGGAAACAAUAAUGGCCGCCAUCAAUUUAACAGAAGAAAAACCCAACAUGUGAACUUUUCCAGUGCUGACAUCAACAUCAUCUCUCCCUGUCCUGCAGGCUGCUUGCACCUCAACGGUUAUUUUUCAGGAAGCAACAUGCAUCAAACACAGAGAACCUUCUUCUCAUACACAGGUACAAUUAUAUAUAUAUAUAUUUAUAACUUCCAUGUUUCAGGAUGGGACUUGAACUUGAUGCA